rnacentral:rRNA from 1 species
UACGGAGGGUGCAAGCGUUAUCCGGAUUCACUGGGUUUAAAGGGUGCGUAGGAGGGCAGGUAAGUCAGUGGUGAAAUCCCCGAGCUUAACUUGGGAACUGCCGUUGAUACUAUCUGUCUUGAAUACCGUGGAGGUGAGCGGAAUAUGUCAUGUAGCGGUAAAAUGCUUAGAUAUGACAUAGAACACCAAUUGCGAAGGCAGCUCGCUACACGAAUAUUGACUCUGAGGCACGAAAGCGUGGGGAUCAAACAGG